CCUACGGGAGGCAGCAGUGGGGAAUAUUGCACAAUGGGCGAAAGCCUGAUGCAGCAACGCCGCGUGAGCGAUGAAGGCCUUCGGGUCGUAAAGAAAAAAAAAUCAAGGAAGAUAAUGACGGUACUUGAGGAGGAAGCCCCGGCUAACUACGUGCCAGCAGCCGCGGUAAUACGUAGGGGGCUAGCGUUAUCCGGAAUUACUGGGCGUAAAGGGUGCGUAGGUGGUUUCUUAAGUCAGAGGUGAAAGGCUACGGCUCAACCGUAGUAAGCCUUUGAAACUGGGAAACUUGAGUGCAGGAGAGGAGAGUGGAAUUCCUAGUGUAGCGGUGAAAUGCGUAGAUAUUAGGAGGAACACCAGUUGCGAAGGCGGCUCUCUGGACUGUAACUGACACUGAGGCACGAA
rnacentral:rRNA from 1 species